UAUAAUUUGUAGAUAACCGUUCUGGUCACCUCUAGGAAGAAUGGGAAGUUCCAAUCCGAGCAAAUUAGGCAAACUUCGUUCGUGUUGGAAUUUCCUAUUUUGUUUGCUUGGUAAAGAAAUAACUAUUUCAGACGGGAAAGAGCUGAGUGAGUGUCUUGAAAUGCACAAUUUUCUCCUUCAAGUGCAGCUUUAAAAAUGUGAUAUAGCGCAACGAAUAACACAAUAUAAAUAUCAAAUGUGUACAUAAAGUGCGUUGCAGAAGCGGAAAAGGGGCAUAUUUUUGUGAAGAAAGUGCGUUGCAUUGAGUUGAUUGGGAUAUACUCUUCUAAAUGUUGCAUGCGCAUCUACUGUUUUCUUCGCGUAUAUUGUGGAAAUAUCAAAUUGUUGAGUGUUACAUUAUAAGUUCAUUGAUUUUUACGAAAAGUAAGGAAAGGAGCCGAAAAUUGAAAUAGAGAAUUUAUGCAACUGAUACUAUAAAUUCGCACAUCGUUACAAUGACUGAAGAACUAUGUCAGACAGUUUACAGUAUGGAGAUGCUUUGUGGUACAGAUGGUGAGGAUUAUGAUAAUAUUAGCAUUUUGCGGUGCGCGCAAAGAACCGAAUAUGGAAGACGUGUAAACUUACAAGUUAAACAUGAUAUGGGCUGCUGGGUAUGGGAACGAUACGGAAUCGAUACAUCCAUAAUUGCCUUUAUAUUGACAGUCCUCAUUGUUCUUAGCCUAUACUUAUGCUUUUGUCGAGCCAGGCGAACCUCGCGGAAUAAGGAAAUUCCAUUUGAAAAUCUUAUGUCAGCAUGAAUGGAACGAUGCUUCAAAUUGAGAUUGUGUUUGUGAUGCAUUUUAUUCGUUUAUGCAAAUCAGCAUCACAAUGUUCGAAAAUUGUGAACUAUAGAUGUCUCUGUUGCAUAAAACGUUGUAUCAAUCUCAGUGCAAAGUAUACUUUAUUAGGCUCACAAUAUGUAUUAUGACACACGGCCUUCGGUCUCGU